CUCAGGGAAGCACAGGCCAGCAGGACUGCAGCAUCAGGCAGCUCUGAGUCCCUCGGUGCCUCCUGAGCUGAGCAGCAGCAGUGGCACUGUCCCUGAUGUGCCCUCUGGGGAACAGCCUGUCACGUCACAUCUGGGGGUUUUGUCCUGCGUUUGGCCUUCACGAAUUAUUUGGAUUCAUAACGUAGGCAGAGAGUCUGGUAACACAAUCUGCAUUCCAGUGACUAAUAUCAUCCAAACUCUUCAGUGACUAGUCUCAUCCAAAAAAGGUCUGUUCUUUGAAGUCAGCAGAUACUGGGUCAGACUUUAAAGGGAAUUCAUGCAUAAUUAUAUUAUAUAAAAAGGUAAGGUUCCUUUUAAUUUUUAUAUGAAUACCUCAAUGACCAACACCAUGGAUCCCUUUUAUUUUUUUUGGGUGGGGUGGGGCAGGGGGAGGGAAUAAGAGAUAAAAGUAUACCUAGUGGGGGAAAAGGAUUUCCACCAUAUGAAACAUUUCAAGGUUUCUACAUCCCUUUUAAAUAUGAACCAGUGUGAAAAAAAUUUGGAUUUUCAGUAUCUGAAAUGCAAUUUGGAAAAUGCUCUCAAGCUUGAAAUAGCUCAUUUAAGAAACUUUAAUGCCUUUUUUUGACUCUGCUUUAAUAUGAAGUAUAUUUCAAUUUUUUUAUUUUUACUCUAUUAAAUCCUAGGAAUUGGUCUGUAUCAAAAGAGAUAUAAGCACGCAUUUGAAGAAGUGCUUAAUAGUUCUUCAUAUGACAGCUCUGGCUUUCUCAGUAGCAGCUUGUGCUAAACAUUCUGGUUAAGCUGACACAGAGAAACAUAACGGCACCUGUCAUAGGAGCAAGAAGUUCUUCUGGUGCUCCUGAAAUAUCCCUUCCUGGCUACAAUUUUUAGAGGAGCCGUGCAACAACUGCCACUGCUUCUUCACCUCAUCAGACAGGACUCCUCAUCUCCCAUGAAGCAGCCUGUAAAAGCCUACUUUUUGCUGCUCUGUGGAGCAGUCAGGCUGAGAAACCUCUGCAGUCCUCUGGGGUUAAGGAAGAUGGUGUGAAAAAGAAGCCACAGAAGGAACACCUGUGCAACUAGCAGGAGAAAAUAUUGUUUUGGGAAUAGAAGAAUUAAUUGCUGGCUGUUGUGGCUGUGUGGAAAAUUAGGUCACCCUAAUUUUUCAUACUAUUUUAAGACCAGGUAACUAAUCACAAAGCAGUAGUGUAAUAAGGUCAGAGAGUUUUUGUGGGGCUGUUAGACAAGUCAUAGACACCUGUACAAGUGGGAGAGCUCCCAGGAUGUGUGAGCUCAGCAAGGGUUUUGCUCAAUAUCCUACCAUUUCAACACUUCAUUUUGUGCUUUUUCUGAUUAAUCACAAAAUCUCAUCCAGCUGACUUCCAAAGCCAACUGUAUCAGGUAGUCCUCUGUUUGUUCCUUAAACACAGAGCCUCUCCCUGUCCCUCUCCAAUGGAAAUUCUCCGAGAAAUGUCUGAUGUGAACCAUGCCAAGGUCCUACCAGGCUGAAUUUCUUGCUACAAUUUUAGUAUUUCUCUGGAUUUGACUUGUUCCUUAUAAUGACAAUACAAAACCUCUGCCCUGCCUUUUCUCCUUGACAUGUAGAAGUUUGAACACUACUGUAUCUUACUGGAUUAUUUUCUCCUUCUUUUUUUUUUUUCUUUAUCUUUUCUUCUUUUUUUUAAUGCUGUUUUGACAGCCAGUCUAUUUUUUUACCUCCUUUUGAAGAAGCUACUCAAAAGGGCAGGAGCACAUGAGCUAACUUCAGGGAUGGUAAAGGAAAGGUAUUUUUAGAAUAUGGGGAACACAAAAAAGAAAUGGUUUAUUUAUUGUAAAAAGCUGGAGGUCCUUAGCUUUGAGGCAGGCUGGUGGCAUGUCUGCCACACUUAUGACGGACACUUCAAAGUGCAGAGAUGUUCUACAGCACUUCAAGGAAUUUCCCACUCUGCAAAUAAUGCUGCAGAAGAAACACUCAAGUACAAGCAGCACAUUGCAGAAAAUCCAGGUGGGAUGUUUAACAAACUUCCAGUUUUAUGAAGUAGGGGAAUUCCAUUAGGAGUGUGGACUAUUUGCUUUAACACAAUCAUUCAUUGGGAUAAGACAAGUAGAACUUGCUCUGUAGGUUUGUAAUUGCUGAAAUUAAUGUGUGGCUCAUCACUCUCUGCAGUACUAUACCAAUUUACUGUGCUCUUUUAUCUCAAUUACUUUCUGUGUGUGUCUUAUAUUUCUCUAUUAAACUUCAGUAAUUGUAACACUGUGGUAAUAACAUUGACAUACUGAGUAUCAUAUGAUGGGCUAUUUUACAUUAUUCUGACUGCCUUAUUUACAUUAUAAUUAUUAGUGUCUAUAUAAAUGUGAUUCAUUGAACUAAUAAAGA